AACGAACGCUGGCGGCAUGCCUAACACAUGCAAGUCGAACGAGACCUUCGGGUCUAGUGGCGCACGGGUGCGUAACGCGUGGGAACCUGCCCUUAGGUUCGGAAUAACUCCCCGAAAGGGGUGCUAAUACCGGAUAAUGUCUUCGGACCAAAGAUUUAUCGCCUUUGGAUGGGCCCGCGUUGGAUUAGCUAGUUGGUAGGGUAAAAGCCUACCAAGGCGACGAUCCAUAGCUGGUCUGAGAGGAUGAUCAGCCACACUGGGACUGAGACACGGCCCAGACUCCUACGGGAAGCAGCAGUGGGGAAUAUUGGACAAUGGGCGAAAGUCUGAUCCAGCAAUGCCGCGUGAGUGAUGAAGGCCUUAGGGUUGUAAAGCUCUUUUACCCGGGAUGAUAAUGACAGUACCGGGAGAAUAAGCUCCGGCUAACUCCGUG
rnacentral:rRNA from 1 species